CAUCUCACUGCUCAGAUUUAAGAAUGUUAUGGAAGGUAAACUGAGGGAGUUCCCUUUGGCUUACCUGGCAGUAGUUGAUGUCAGUAGUUGAUGUCAGUAGUUGAUUUCAGUAGUUGAUGUCAGUAGUUGAUGUCAGUAGUUGAUGUCAGUAGUUCAGUAGUUGAUGUCAGUAGUUGAUGUCAGUAGUUUAUUAGUUGAUGUCAGUAGUUGAUGUCAGUAGUUGAUGUCAGUAGUUCAGUAGUUGAUGUCAGUAGUUCAGUAGUUGAUGUCAGUAGUUCAUGUCAGUAGUUGAUGUCAGUAGUUGAUGUCAGUAGUUCAGUAGUUGAUGUCAGUAGUUCAGUAGUUGAUGUCAGUAGUUCAUUAGUUGAUGUCAGUAGUUGAUGUCAGUAGUUGAUGUCAGUAGUUGAUGUCAGUAGUUGAUGUCAGUAGUUGAUGUCAGUAGUUGAUGUCAGUAGUUGAUGUCAGUAGUUCAUGUCAGUAGUUGAUGUCAGUAGUUCAUGUCAGUAGUUCAUGUCAGUAGUUGAUGUCAGUAGUUGAUGUCAGUAGUUCAUUAGUUGAUGUCAGUAGUUGAUGUCAGUAGUUGAUGUCAAUAGUUGAUGUUAGUAGUUGAUGUCAGUAGUUGAUGUCAGUAGUUGAUGUCAGUAGUUCAGUAGUCGAUGUCAGUAGUUGAUGUCAGUAGUUCAUGUCAGUAGUUGAUGUCAGUAGUUGAUGUCAGUAGUUCAUGUCAGUAGUUCAUGUCAGUAGUUGAUGUCAGUAGUUGAUGUCAGUAGUUGAUGUCAGUAGUUGAUGUCAGUAGUUGAUUUCAGUAGUUGAUGUCAGUAGUUCAUGUCAGUAGUUGAUGUCAGUAGUUCAUGUCAGUAGUUCAUGUCAGUAGUUCAUGUCAGUAGUUCAUGUCAGUAGUUCAGUAGUUCAUGUCAGUAGUUCAUGUCAGUAGUUCAUGUCAGUAGUUCAGUAGUUCAUGUCAGUAGUUCAUGUCAGUAGUUCAUGUCAGUAGUUCAGUAGUUGAUGUCAGUAGUUGAUGUCAGUAGUUCAUGUCAGUAGUUCAUGGUAUAAACCAGUUUCAUAACAUUCCUAAAUACAUUUUACAAUCCUAUUUUCCCAGUCACAUUUUGGAACGCUACAAAUGACAUAUGUAGUAAUAAAGGAAUAAAAAUCGUUGUGAAUCUGACCUUUAGUUGAGUUGUCUAAAAUCAGAUACGUUAAAAUCUCAUCAAUACUUAAAACAUGUGAUAUGAUGAUCCCAAAACAACAUUUAAAAAAAUAAAAAACGCUGCCCAAGAAGUUUGUUCACGGGAAAAAUGAAAGUUACUCCUCUAUUCUAUUAAUGUCAGUAUUAGUUACUACGUAUCUCUGAGACGAUGUGGUGAUUUCCCUGUUUCUGUUCCUCAGAUGC